rnacentral:snRNA from 1 species
AUACUCUGGUUUCUCUCCAGAAUGUACAGACCUUUAGUCUUUUACCAAAGGUGUCUGGAGAUGCAACAAUUGUGAGUAAUUUGAAUUUUGUUAAGGAUUGCUAUGCGGCCUCAUGUGGGCAAUUCU